GUUGGGUAGGGGAGCGUUCUGUAAGCCUGCGAAGGUGUACUGUGAGGUAUGCUGGAGGUAUCAGAAGUGCGAAUGCUGACAUAAGUAACGAUAAUGCGGGUGAAAAACCCGCACGCCGGAAGACCAAGGGUUCCUGUCCAACGUUAAUCGGGGCAGGGUGAGUCGACCCCUAAGGCGAGGCUGAAAAGCGUAGUCGAUGGGAAACGGGUUAAUAUUCCCGUACUGGUGGUAACUGCGAUGGGGGAACGGAGAAGGCUAGGUUGUCCGGGCGACGGUCGUCCCGGUUCAAGCAGGUAGGCAGAGUGAUUAGGCAAAUCCGGUCACUUAAUGCUGAGAUGUGAUGACGAACCACCAAGGUGGUGAAGCAAUUGAUGCCCCGCUUCCAGGAAAAGCCUCUAAGCUUCAGGUUACCAACAAUCGUACCCCAAACCGACACAGGUGGUCAGGUAGAGAAUACUCAGGCGCUUGAGAGAACUCGGGUGAAGGAACUAGGCAAAAUGGUGCCGUAACUUCGGGAGAAGGCACGCUGGCGGUAGGUAAAGUCCCUCGCGGACGGCGCUGAAGCCAGUCGAAGAUACCAGCUGGCUGCAACUGUUUAUUAAAAACACAGCACUGUGCAAACACGAAAGUGGACGUAUACGGUGUGACGCCUGCCCGGUGCUGGAAGGUUAAUUGAUGGGGUUAGCGCAAGCGAAGCUCCUGAUCGAAGCCCCAGUAAACGGCGGCCGUAACUAUAACGGUCCUAAGGUAGCGAAAUUCCUUGUCGGGUAAGUUCCGACCUGCACGAAUGGCGUAAUGAUGGCCAGGCUGUCUCCACCCGAGACUCAGUGAAAUUGAACUCGCUGUGAAGAUGCAGUGUACCCGCGGCAAGACGGAAAGACCCCGUGAACCUUUACUAUAGCUUGACACUGAACAUUGAGCCUUGAUGUGUAGGAUAGGUGGGAGGCUUUGAAGUGUGGACGCCAGUCUGCAUGGAGCCAACCUUGAAAUACCACCCUUUAACGUUUGAUGUUCUAACCUAGGCCCAUAAACUGGGUCGGGGACCGUGUCUGGUGGGUAGUUUGACUGGGGCGGUCUCCUCCUAAAGAGUAACGGAGGAGCACGAAGGUUGGCUAAGCAUGGUCGGACAUCAUGCGGUUAGUGCAAAGGCAUAAGCCAGCUUGACUGCGAGAGUGACGGCUCGAGCAGGUACGAAAGUAGGUCUUAGUGAUCCGGUGGUUCUGAAUGGAAGGGCCAUCGCUCAACGGAUAAAAGGUACUCCGGGGAUAACAGGCUGAUACCGCCCAAGAGUUCAUAUCGACGGCGGUGUUUGGCACCUCGAUGUCGGCUCAUCACAUCCUGGGGCUGAAGUAGGUCCCAAGGGUAUGGCUGUUCGCCAUUUAAAGUGGUACGCGAGCUGGGUUUAGAACGUCGUGAGACAGUUCGGUCCCUAUCUGCCGUGGGCGUUGGAAGAUUGAGAGGGGUUGCUCCUAGUACGAGAGGACCGGAGUGAACGCACCACUGGUGUUCGGGUUGUCAUGCCAAUGGCAUUGCCCGGUAGCUAAGUGCGGAAGAGAUAACCGCUGAAAGCAUCUAAGCGGGAAACUUGCCUCGAGAUGAGUCUUCCCUGUCGCUUUAAGCGACCUAAAGGAACGUUUAAGACUAAGACGUUGAUAGGCUGGGUGUGUAAGCGUAGCGAUACGUUGAGCUAACCAGUACUAAUGAACCGUGAGGCUUAACCUGACAACACCGAAAGUGUUUUG
rnacentral:rRNA from 1 species